rnacentral:rRNA from 1 species
GACGAACGCUGGCGGCGUGCUUAACACAUGCAAGUCGAACGGAAAGGCCCUGCUUUUGUGGGGUGCUCGAGUGGCGAACGGGUGAGUAACACGUGAGUAACCUGCCCUUGACUUUGGGAUAACUUCAGGAAACUGGGGCUAAUACCGGAUAGGAGCUCCUGCUGCAUGGUGGGGGUUGGAAAGUUUCGGCGGGUGGGGAUGGACUCGCGGCUUAUCAGCUUGUGGGUGGGGGAGUGGCUUACCAAGGCUUUGACGGGUAGCCGGCCUGAGAGGGUGACCGGCCACAUUGGUACUGAGAUACGGCCCAGACUCCUACGGGAGGCAGCAGUGGGGAAUAUUGCACAAUGGGCGGAAGCCUGAUGCAGCAACGCCGCGUGCGGGAUGACGGCCUUCGGGUUGUAAACCGCUUUCGCCUGUGACGAAGCGUGAGUGACGGUAAUGGGUAAAGAAGCACCGGCUAACUACGUG